rfam:Pteropus alecto contig90235, whole genome shotgun sequence.
GUCUACAGCCAUGCUACCCUGAACAAGCCCAAUCCUGUCCAAUCUCGGAAGCUAAGCAGGGUUGGGCCUGGUUAGUACUUGGAUGGGAGACCACCUAGGAAGACCACAUGCUGUAAGCG